rnacentral:rRNA from 1 species
UGUGUUCAAGUUUUUAAGGGCAUACGGUGGAUGCCUUGGCAUCAGGAGCCGAUGAAGGACGUGGGAGCCUGCGAUAUGCCUCGGGGAGUCGGCAACCAGACUUUGAUCCGGGGAUUUCCGAAUGGGGAAACCUGGCACUCGUCAUGGGGUGUCGCCGCCUGCUGAAUGUAUAGGCAGGUUGGUGGGAACGCGGGGAAGUGAAACAUCUCAGUACCCGCAGGAAGAGAAAACAAUUGUGAUUCCGUGAGUAGUGGUGAGCGAAAGCGGAGGAGCCUAAACCGUGCGCGUGUGAUACCUGGUAGGGGUUGCGUGUGCGGGGUUGUGGGAGCAUCCGGUUGGAUCUACCAGUCCAGCGAGAAGUUACAAACUGCUUGGGUAGUCGAAUGGCUUGGGAUGGCCGACCGUAGACGGUGAGAGUCCGGUAGACGAAAUCUGAGUGGCUUCUGGGUGUUUUCCCGAGUAGCACGGGGCCCGUGAAAUCCUGUGUGAAUCUGCCACGACCACGUGGUAAGGCUGAAUACUUCCUGGUGACCGAUAGCGGACUAGUACCGUGAGGGAAAGGUGAAAAGUGCCCCGGUGAGGGGUCGUGAAAGAGUACCUGAAACCGUGUGCCUACAAGCCGUCAGAGCCUCCUCCAGGACCUUUCGGGGUUGUGGUUGGUGAUGGCGUGCCUUUUGAAGAAUGAGCCUGCGAGUUAUGGUGUGUGGCGAGGUUAACCGGUGGCGGGUAGCCGUAGCGAAAGCGAGUCUGAAUAGGGCGUUUUUAGUCGCAUGCUGUAGACCCGAAGCGGGGUGAUCUAGCCAUGGGCAGGGUGAAGCGCCGGUAAGACGGUGUGGAGGCCCGAACCCACCAGGGUUGAAAACCUGGGGGAUGACCUGUGGUUAGGGGUGAAAGGCCAAUCAAACUCCGUGAUAGCUGGUUCUCCCCGAAAUGCAUUUAGGUGCAGCGUUGCGUGUUUCUUGCCGGAGGUAGAGCUACUGGAUGGCUGAUGGGCCCUACCAGGUUACUGACGUCAGCCAAACUCCGAAUGCCGGUAAGUGAAGCGUGGCAGUGAGACUGCGGGGGAUAAGCUUCGUAGUCGAGAGGGAAACAGCCCAGAUCAUCGGCUAAGGCCCCUAAGCGUGUGCUAAGUGGGAAAGGAUGUGGAGUUGCCUUGACAACCAGGAGGUUGGCUUAGAAGCAGCCAUCCUUGAAAGAGUGCGUAAUAGCUCACUGGUCAAGUGAUUCCGCGCCGAUAAUGUAGCGGGGCUCAAGCACACCGCCGAAGCCGUGGCACUUGCACCCUUUGGGGUGUGGGUGGGUAGGGGAGCGUCCUGCAGCCGGUGAAGCCGCCGAGUGAUCGAGUGGUGGAGGCUGUGGGAGUGAGAAUGCAGGCAUGAGUAGCGAAUCAAGAGUGAGAAACUCUUGCGCCGGAUGACUAAGGGUUCCUGGGGCAGGCUAAUCCGCCCAGGGUAAGUCGGGACCUAAGGCGAGGCCGACAGGCGUAGUCGAUGGACAACGGGUUGAUAUUCCCGUACCCGCUGGUAUGCGCCAACGCUGAACCCUCUGAUGCUAACCACCCGAUCCCCGGGUUGAGCCUUCGGGCUCUUGCUGGGGGGAGCGUGGGGCCCGAGGGGGUAGUAGGUGAGUGAUGGGGUGACGCAGGAGGGUAGCUCAGCCCAGGCGAUGGUUGUCCUGGGGUAAGCAUGUAGCCCGCGCUGUAGGUAAAUCCGCGGCGCACACAGGGUGAGAUGUGAUGCCGAGCCGUUUUAGGUGAAGUGAGUGAUCCCAUGCUGUCGAGAAAAGCCUCUAGCGAGUGUAUCGGCGGCCCGUACCCUAAACCGACUCAGGUGGUCAGGUAGAGAAUACCAAGGCGAUCGGGUGAACUGUGGUUAAGGAACUCGGCAAAUUGCCCCCGUAACUUUGGGAGAAGGGGGACCAUGCUUGGUGAUCGCCUUCGCGGCGGGAGCUGGGUGUGGUCGCAGUGGCCAGGGGGAAGCGACUGUUUACUAAAAACACAGGUCCGUGCGAAGUCGUAAGACGCUGUAUACGGACUGACGCCUGCCCGGUGCCGGAACGUUAAGAGGACCGGUUAGACC